rnacentral:tRNA from 1 species
AAGAUUUUAAGUUAAAUAAACUAUUAACCUUCAAAGUUAAAAAUAAUUAUUAUUAAGUCUUA